UUAACCUUGGAGGAGAUGGAAGAUGUGAUUCGCCUGGAUAUUGUGCCAAGUAUGGGUCAUAUAGCUGCAUGGAUUUGGAAUCUAACAACAUUUUAGACACACAACUUGUUCAGUCCAAUGAAGUGACGAACUCUGGAGCAAUGGAACUUGAGGGAUUAAAGAGAUGUCUGGCAAAGUUUGAUGAAAGUGGGAUGAAGGUGAAGUCAAUGAACACAGACAGACAUGCUCAAAUCAAAUCCUACAUGUCAAAACAAAGACCAAAAAUCGAGCACUACUUUGAUGUAUGGCAUGUAG